UGAGCCCAGCAGUGACAUCAGUGUCAAGCCUGGUGGGAGCAAGCCUCCUCCAGGAGCUGAAAUGGGAACCGAGAGAGGAAAAGGGUUUUAAGCUGUGCAAGAGUUCAGGGCAGCGCCCAGGUCUGAAUCAUUUCCUGGGCCUGGACAAAGGGGCCCCCGAGGAUGUUUCUGGAAUGAAUAAAUCCAAAGGGAUGGGAUCGUAAUUGCACAAUCCCAUUAAGGGGAGUCCUAGGCUGCCUGCAUGUUUUAUGGGGCUCUCGGGAAGAAGCAAGAGAGGCAGGCCAGCGCUUUCUCCCUGCUGUGGCUGGAGAUUUCUCUGCAGGUCAAGGGAACUUGCCACAAGGGCUCCAGGCUCCAGAUGCUGGAACUGAGACACACAGAAGUUAAAUGACAGCUAGAAGGCAGGUGAGCAGAUGGGGCCUGCUACGGACUGAAUGCUCUCGUCUCUGCGGAAUCAUUCUGGAAGCCCUCAUCCCCGCUGGGAUAGGAUGAGCCGGUGGCACCUUUGGGAGCCCUGCAUUUCGCGAGCGGGCCUCCUCAGGUGGACAGAGCCUCAGUGCGGCCGCCGGCCCCUUCCUCCUGCUUCCUUCGCCAUCGCAUCCCUCCACCCUCACGCCCAUUGCUUUUGCAGCAGGAGGGUGCGCACUCAGAGGUGUGCUGGUAAAGGCCUGGCAACGGCUCUCUCAUGGCUGACAGGUGCAGCGUCUGUAGAUGCCCGUGGUAUAAACACUCCUACCGUGGCCGAUGGUAGGCUACCAAGGCGAUGUCACCGGACGCGGAGUUGGGAAGAGACGUACCCUGUUAGGUCCCAUUUCCAGCAUAUAGAUACAGUAAACGUAAGUAACCUCCGGCACAGUGAUAAGAGUAAAGCGAUUAGAAAGGGCUAGUUUGUCAUUGCUUUUGUUUUAAAGAUAAUUUAAUUCAUUGUGAUAUUCAGUCUUUUCAUUUUCGAUAAUGGCUGUGUCUAACAACUGGCUCACAGAAUGCCAGAAAAUUCAAUGUUCAACUCUCAGCACCUGCUACAGGCCAGCUCCAGCACAUCCCCGGGCAUGUCCUGCUGGGUCCCAGCAGGUUGCAAAGGGGAAGGGCAUGCCCGGACACUAGACACAAGAUGGUUGCUUGACA